rnacentral:tRNA from 1 species
UGCGGCCUGGUAGUUCAGUUGGCAGCUCGUCGGGCUCAUAACCCGAAGGUCGUAGGUUCAAGUCCUGCCUCCGCAACCA